UUAAACUAAACUUUUUGUUGACUAUCAUACCUUGUCGAACAAGUUUAUAGAUUUGCAAACAGAAUCCAAAUAAUUCUAUCAAGAAUUGAUGUUUGGAUUUCUUACAGGCAAUUCUUGGUGGUACAGUUGAGGUGCCUACACUGUCGGCGAAGAUUCAAGUGAAAGUAAUACUUUUGAUUUUAUUCUACUCUUUUAUUUGUUGGUGCAUUACAGUGACAGUUACUGAAAGUCAUAAGAAAAUGUGUAAAUUUUCUGGUAUUAGAGGAGAUAGUCUGGUUAAGCAAAACUAAGUACUGAAUCUUUAAAGAUUAUUGGACAUAAGUCUCAGUUUGAUCAUGUUCCUGGCCUGUUAAUGUAUGAAAACUGACAUGAAUUUCUCAUGUUGAUAUAGGUACCUUGUCUUUUUUGUUUUUUGGCCCAUUGUCUGGAGCCCUAUUAUUUUUAUUAAUUUUAACAAUUCACAUGAAUCAAUGUAUUCAAUAUUAACCUUUUUUGUGUUUUAAAAUUACGGUGUCCCCAGAUACCAAAAGGAUGUCAACAUGAAGAACUUCUUGCUUUAAGAGAUAAAGGUAUGUUUAAUCAUUCCCUCCUAUUGCCCCACCUCCUCUCCCUAUUUCUUGGUGCUGCUUGAAUUUACUCCCGUGUCUGAUUUCCUGCCAUAAAUGUGCAUGCUUUCUUUGUGAGUUCCUGUAGGACCGCCAAAGCAUGGUUUUCUAGUACACCAUGGAGAUCAAUAUGUCCGUUUCCGUGUUAAUUUGCCUACUUCAAUAAAUGACCGGCAACAAGAACAUGCAAAGGAGGAAAUUAAUAAUGAAAAUGACAUCACUGUUGAAGGCAAUUGGCUUUAUCAGCAGCUAUCUACUGGUUGAAGUUACAGGUGGGAGACAGUUCCUGAGCAUGUGACGGCUCCUAAGUUUAUGAUUGAGUUUUCUCUACUCCUGCGAAUCCUACUCUUCCUCAAAAAGAUAAUGGGCCGAACUUGACUCGAGGCAAUGAACAAGAUAUGCAUGCACAUGGAGGAUAUAAGAAAUGGGCCCUUUUUUUUGUGGCUUCUUCUGUUUAUAGAGGGUUCAAUUCUCUUAACAGUAGUUUCAUGAUUCAUCUGGUUAGCCAUUAUUGAGGCAUUAAAAGAGGGCAUCCUUCUUUAUCACUUUUGGUGCUAUCAUAGACUCAUUGUCGUCUAGCUGUCUGCUCGUAUAAUUGUUGGGUUGUUGUAAUAGCAUUUGCUUUUCGACAUCCAAUAAACG